rnacentral:rRNA from 2 species
UUGGUGCUUGCAUCAUGAUUUACAUUUGAGUGAGUGGCGAACUGGUGAGUAACGCGUGGGAAACCUGCCCAGAAGCGGGGGAUAACACCUGGAAACAGAUGCUAAUACCGCAUAACAACUUGGACCGCAUGGUCCGAGUUUGAAAGAUGGCUUCGGCUAUCACUUUUGGAUGGUCCCGCGGCGUAUUAGCUAGAUGGUGGGGUAACGGCUCACCAUGGCAAUGAUACGUAGCCGACCUGAGAGGGUAAUCGGCCACAUUGGGACUGAGACACGGCCCAAACUCCUACGGGAGGCAGCAGUAGGGAAUCUUCCACAAUGGACGAAAGUCUGAUGGAGCAACGCCGCGUGAGUGAAGAAGGGUUUCGGCUCGUAAAACUCUGUUGUUAAAGAAGAACAUAUCUGAGAGUAACUGUUCAGGUAUUGACGGUAUUUAACCAGAAAGCCACGGCUAACUACGUGCCAGCAGCCGCGGUAAUACGUAGGUGGCAAGCGUUGUCCGGAUUUAUUGGGCGUAAAGCGAGCGCAGGCGGUUUUUUAAGUCUGAUGUGAAAGCCUUCGGCUCAACCGAAGAAGUGCAUCGGAAACUGGGAAACUUGAGUGCAGAAGAGGACAGUGGAACUCCAUGUGUAGCGGUGAAAUGCGUAGAUAUAUGGAAGAACACCAGUGGCGAAGGCGGCUGUCUGGUCUGUAACUGACGCUGAGGCUCGAAAGUAUGGGUAGCAAACAGGAUUAGAUACCCUGGUAGUCCAUACCGUAAACGAUGAAUGCUAAGUGUUGGGAGGGUUUCCGCCCCUUCAGUGCUGCAGCUAACGCAUUAAGCAUUCCGCCCUGGGGGAGUACCGCCGCCAAGGCUGAAACUCAAAAGGAAUUGACGGGGGGCCCGCACAAGCGGGGGGAGCAUGUUGGUUUUAAUUCGAAGCUUCGCAGAAGAACCUUACCAGGUCUUGACA